AAGAGACUGCCGGUGUCAAACCGGAGGAAGGUGGGAUGACGUCAAGUCCUCAUGGCCUUUAUGAUCAGGGCUACACACGUACUACAAUGGCCGGUACAACGGGCAGCGACAUAGCGAUAUGAAGCCAAUCCCUGAAAGCCGGUCUCAGUCCGGAUUGGAGUCUGCAACUCGACUCCAUGAAGUUGGAAUCGCUAGUAAUCGCGGAUCAGCAUGCCGCGGUGAAUACGUUCCCGGGCCUU
rnacentral:rRNA from 1 species